CCCUUAGAUGUUCGGGGCUGCACAUGCGCUACACUGAAGGAAUCAACGUGUAUUUGCCCUUGCCCGAAAGGGUUGGGUAACCCGUUGAACCUCCUUCGUGCUAGGGAUUGGGGCUUGUAAUUAUUCCCCAUGAACGAGGAAUUCCCAGUAAGCGCGAGUCAUAAGCUCGCGUUGAUUACGUCCCUGCCCUUUGUACACACCGCCCGUCGCUACUACCGAUUGAAUGGUUUAGUGAGAUCCUCGGAUUGGUCCCGCCACGGGAGGAAACUUUCGAGGCGGAGUGCCGAGAAGACGAUCAGACUUGAUCAUUUAGAGGAAGUAAAAGUCGUAACA
rnacentral:rRNA from 1 species